rnacentral:tRNA from 1 species
CAGAUUAUAUUUAAGGUAAGUGUGACUAGUWCAUUGAGGAAAUUGUUGUGCAAAUCAACAUAAUUUGA